CAACCCUCGAACCCCUCCGGGGGAUCGGCGUUGGGGAUCGGGACCCCUCACACGGGUGCCGGCCCCUAAAUACAGUGGCGGUCUCGCCGCAGCCUCUCCUGCGCAGUAGUUUGCACAACUCGCACCGGGAGCGCGGCGCGUCCACGUCCGUAAAACACCCAACUUUCUGAAA
rnacentral:misc_RNA from 1 species